rnacentral:rRNA from 1 species
GACGAACGCUGGCGGCGUGCCUAAUACAUGCAAGUUGAGCGCUGAAGGUUGGUCCUUGUACCAACUGGAUGAGCAGCGAACGGGUGAGUAACGCGUGGGGAAUCUGCCUUUGAGCGGGGGACAACAUUUGGAAACGAAUGCUAAUACCGCAUAAAAACUUUAAACACAAGUUUUAAGUUUGAAAGAUGCAAUUGCAUCACUCAAAGAUGAUCCCGCGUUGUAUUAGCUAGUUGGUGAGGUAAAGGCUCACUAAGGCGAUGAUACAUAGCCGACCUGAGAGGGUGAUCGGCCACAUUGGGACUGAGACACGGCCCAAACUCCUACGGGAGGCAGCAGUAGGGAAUCUUCGGCAAUGGACGAAAGUCUGACCGAGCAACGCCGCGUGAGUGAAGAAGGUUUUCGGAUCGUAAAACUCUGUUGGUAGAGAAGAACGUUGGUGAGAGUGGAAAGCUCAUCAAGUGACGGUAACUACCCAGAAAGGGACGGCUAACUACGUG